rnacentral:rRNA from 1 species
AUUGAACGCUGGCGGAAUGCUUUACACAUGCAAGUCGAGCGGCAGCGCGGGGCAACCUGGCGGCGAGCGGCGAACGGGUGAGUAAUACAUCGGAACGUACCCAGUUGUGGGGGAUAGCCCGGCGAAAGCCGGAGUAAUACCGCAUACGACCUGAGGGUGGAAGGGGGGGAUCGCAAGACCUCUCGCUACUGGAGCGGCCGAUGGUGGAUUAGCUAGUUGGUAGGGUAAAGGCCUACCAAGGCGACGAUCCGUAGCGGGUCUGAGAGGACGACCCGCCACACUGGAACUGAGACACGGUCCAGACUCCUACGGGAGGCAGCAGUGGGGAAUUUUGGACAAUGGGGGCAACCCUGAUCCAGCCAUUCCGCGUGAGUGAAGAAGGCCUUCGGGUUGUAAAGCUCUUUCGGCAGGAACGAAACGGUCCUUUCUAAUACAAAGGGCUAAUGACGGUACCUGAAGAAGAAGCACCGGCUAACUACGUGCCAGCCGCCGCGGUAA